rnacentral:rRNA from 1 species
GACGAACGCUGGCGGCAGGCUUAACACAUGCAAGUCGGACGAGCUCUUCGGAGCGAGUGGCAGACGGGUGCGUAACACGUGGGAACCUACCCUAAGGUACGGAAUAACAGUGAGAAAUCGCUGCUAAUACCGUAUGUGCCCUUCGGGGGAAAGAUUUAUCGCCUUAGGAUGGGCCCGCGGCAGAUUAGGUAGUUGGUGGGGUAAUGGCCUACCAAGCCGACGAUCUGUAGCUGGUCUGAGAGGAUGAUCAGCCACACUGGGACUGAGACACGGCCCAGACUCCUACGGGAGGCAGCAGUGGGGAAUAUUGGGCAAUGGGCGCAAGCCUGACCCAGCCAUGCCGCGUGAGUGAUGAAGGCCUUAGGGUUGUAAAACUCUUUCGCCGGUGAAGAUAAUGACGGUAACCGGUAAAGAAGCCCCGGCUAAUUUCG